rnacentral:rRNA from 1 species
AACGAACGCUGGCGGCAUGCCUAACACAUGCAAGUCGAACGAGACCUUCGGGUCUAGUGGCGCACGGGUGCGUAACGCGUGGGAACCUGCCCUUAGGUUCGGAAUAACUCCCCGAAAGGGGUGCUAAUACCGGAUAAUGUCUUCGGACCAAAGAUUUAUCGCCUUUGGAUGGGCCCGCGUUGGAUUAGCUAGUUGGUAGGGUAAAAGCCUACCAAGGCGACGAUCCAUAGCUGGUCUGAGAGGAUGAUCAGCCACACUGGGACUGAGACACGGCCCAGACUCCUACGGGAGGCAGCAGUGGGGAAUAUUCGACAAUGGGCGAAAGCCUGAUCCCGCAAUGCCGCGUGAGUGAUGAAGGCCUUAGGGUUGUAAAGCUCUUUUACCCGGGAUGAUAAUGACAGUACCGGGAGAAUAAGCGCCGGCUAACUCCGUG